rnacentral:sRNA from 1 species
AAAAAAGGUAAGUACUUGUAUUUAUUUAUUUUUAAAUAGCACUUUACAAUUAUCUGAGAAAAAACAUUAUUCAUUUUAAAAUUACCUAAUUGAUUUCUAAAUGAAAUUGUUUCUUUUUCUUCAGUAGUGCAAUCUCAGUCAAAUCUUUAAGACUCUUUGGAUGUCAGUCCCAUAUGCUCAAAUUCAAAGGCCCAAACAAAUUUCUUCACUAAUCAAAAGUACAUUGUAAAUAGCUGUGUGAUUGUCAAAUAUGGGUAAUAUUCUAUCCAGGAGUUGUGAUAAAAGUCCUGGAUGAUCAGCGCAGAAAUAAUUUUUUAAAAAGGCACAGAAAUAAAAAAUAUAUUUGUAUAUCCAGAAGUGCAGGACAUACAGUUAGUGUAUGCAGACAUGAUUGUUACUGAAGUGAUGUUGAUACCAAUGGCAGUAGUUUGAGAGUGGAAUGUUUUGAGUUCUGAAUUUGUCAAAUAAAAUUUGUGUACAGUUUUAUGUGUUUUCUUUUCUUUCUUUUUUUUUUUUCAAACCUUUUUCUGUGUGUUAAAACUAACAAAAGAUAUAAAAUAUAUAUUGGUCAAUAAUUAAAAAUAAUAAUGAUCAUUCACUUGUGCACAGAUAAGACAAAAAUGUAAACUUAUAAACAUUAUUUAAAAAAAUGGUGUCCCAUGAAGCAC